GUUCCUGUGGCUUAAGUGGUUAGAGCAUCCGCCUCGGAUGCGGGAGGUCACGGGUUCAAACCACGGCCGAAUUACA